rnacentral:rRNA from 1 species
CCUAAGGGUACUGCGGAGGAUCAUUACUGAGUUUUGAAGUGGGCUUGAUGCUGGCAUCUUUUUGAUGCAUGUGCUCAGCCCCGCUCUCAAAUCCACUCAACACCUGUGCACUUUCAAAGUUGUAGUCCUCCGUAAUGGGAGUCGCAAGUCUUUUUUGACUUGCUGGGACUGCGCUUUGCCAUUUAUCACAAACGAUAUUCAUUGUUUUGUAGAAUGUCUAGCCUCAUUGUAGGUGAAACUUAAUACAACUUUCAACAACGGAUCUCUUGGCUCUCGCAUCGAUGAAGAACGCAGCGAAAUGCGAUAAGUAAUGUGAAUUGCAGAAUUCAGUGAAUCAUCGAAUCUUUGAACGCACCUUGCGCUCCUUGGUAUUCCGAGGAGCAUGCCUGUUUGAGUGUCGUGAAAUUAUCAACUCCUAUUCUUUAUUGAAUGGUGAGCUUGGAUUUGGAGAUUGCUGGUGAAAAUCGGCUUCUCUUGAAUGAAUUAGCUGGAAUUUGAUUCGCAGCAUAUAUGCGGUGUGAUAAUGUCGUCACUGUGUAGCUCGGAUUGUCUGGCUUCUAAUCGUCUUUCAUGGACAAUUUGAUCAUUUUGACCUCAAAUCAGGUAGGACUACCCGCUGAACUUAAGCAUAUCAAAAACGGGAAGGAAA